rnacentral:rRNA from 1 species
UACGUAGGUGGCGAGCGUUUGUCCGGAAUUACUGGGUGUAAAGCGCGUGUAGGCGGGAGGCCAAGUCUGCGGUGAAACUCGCUCGGCUCAACUGGGCGGGGUCCGUGGAAACUGGUCACCUGGAGGGACGGUAGAGGCGAGUGGAAUUCCCGGUGUAGUGGUGAAAUGCGUAGAGAUCGGGAGGAACACCAGUGGCGGAAGGCGGCUCGCUGGGCCGGACCUGACGCUGAGACGCGCAAGGCG